UACAGAGGUGGCAAGCGUUGUUCGGAAUUACUGGGCGUAAAGGGCGCGUAGGCGGUCCGAUAAGUCCCGUGUGAAAUCCCUCGGCUCAACCAAGGAAGUGCAUCCGAAACUGCUGAGCUUGAGUACUUAAGAGGAUCGCGGAAUUCCCGGUGUAGAGGUGAAAUUCGUAGAUAUCGGGAGGAACAUCAGUGGCGAAGGCGGCGAUCUGGGAAGAUACUGACGCUGAGGUGCGAAAGCGUGGGGAGCAAACAGG
rnacentral:rRNA from 1 species